rnacentral:sRNA from 1 species
GCCAGGCACAGUGGUGCAUGCCUGUAAUUCCAGUGACUCGGGAGGCUGAGGCAGGAAGAUUGCAAAACUCAAGGCCAGCCUGGGAAAUUUAGCAAGACCCUGUCUCAA